rnacentral:lncRNA from 1 species
AAAUCCUGGGUGGGGACAGGGAGCACCCCAAAUCCUGGGUGGGGACAGGGAGCAUCCCAAAUCCUGAGAUGGGGACAUGUGGUGACUGCAGGCACACUGGCCAUUCCCACAGGACCCCCCAGGCGGAUGUGGGUCCCCCCCAGCAGGGCGUUUGCAGCCGCUGUCCCCGGUGUGUGGCCCAGAGCCCCGUCCAGCCCUGCCCUGCUGUCACUCCCGUCGCCCACGGGGCAGCGGCCGUGCCGGAGCGCGGCCCCGCGCAGGCACACCGGGGAUCCCCGGGGCUCACCCGUGCGUCCCGCUGUCCGUCUGUCCCCAGGGCUCGGCUACCCCCUGUUCCCCGCCGCCAGCCUGGGCCGCGCCCUGGCCACCAAGACGCCGCCGCCACUGUUCCUGGGGACCGAGGGCCGGCGCGGGGACAGCCAGGGCGGCCUGGCCGGCGGCCGGAGCGCCGGCACCGCGGCGCGGCCGCUGUACCCCGCCCUGCAGACGCUGAGCCCGGGCAGCUCCGGCCUCCCGAGCCACGGCCUGGCCGGAUUCCCCUUCCUCAGCCCGGCCCUGGCGGGUGAGUGGCGCUGCCCCAGCCUUGUCCCCUCCCUGGUCACCCCCUCCCACUCACUCUGUGCUCCCACCCCGCAGAUUUUGGGCCUGGGGAGGUCCCGGCGCCCCCCGGAUUCCUGCAGCCCCCCCAGGCCUGGCAGCACCCCCGGGACGUGGCAGUGCUGGGGUGAGGAGGGCUGGGGACAGGACAGGGGGACAGGACAGGGGACAGGGUGGGGACAGGGUGGGGAUAGGGGGGACACGGCUGGGGAGAGGCAGGGCAGAGGACAGGGCAGGGGAUGGGGGGCUACAGGGGGGACAGGGUGGGGACAGGACAGGACAGGGGGGACAGGACAGGGGACAGGGGGGACAGGACAGGGGACAGGGGGGACAGGACAGGGGGGACAGGACAGGGGGGACAGGGCAGGGGACAGGGGGGACAGGGUAGGGACAGGGUGGGGACAGGGUGGGGAUAGGGGGGACAUGGCUGGGGACAGAGUGGGGACAGGCAUGGCCCUGGGGUGGGGACAGGGCCGGGGACAGGACAGGACAAGGGGGAACAGGGCAGGCAGGACAUGGCCUCGCUGGGGUAAGGGCAGGGGUGGCCCUGGGACAGGGAACAGUGGGCCAAGGCGAGGGUGACCCCAUUCUGCUGCACCCACGGCUGUCCCCUCCCAGCCAUGGGCAGCACCGAGGGGCAGCCCCCCACCCACCGGCUGCUCUUGGGGGUCAGCCCGAAGCACCCCCAGAUUAUUUCCAGCCGGGUUCCCCCUUGGACCUUGUCCCCAUGUCCCCCCCAGCAGCUGUGUGGGGCCAGAACCAGCCCAGGACAGGAACUGGGAGGGUCUCAACCCCUCUCGGGGUGACAAGGGGACACGGGGACAGUCCCUCACCCGUGCCCUGUCGCCGCAGGGCCAGCAGCCGGAUGGUCCCCGCGGAGGAGCCAG